UACGUAGGGGGCUAGCGUUGUCCGGAAUCAUUGGGCGUAAAGCGCGUGUAGGCGGUCCGGUAAGUCCGCUGUGAAAGUCGGGGGCUCAACCCUCGGAUGCCGGUGGAUACUGUCGGGCUUGAGUACGGAAGAGGCGAGUGGAAUUCCUGGUGUAGUGGUGGAAUGCGUAGAGCUCCGGAGGAACACCAGUGGCGAAGGCGGCCGCCUGGGCCAGUCCUGACGCUGAGCCGCGAAAGCGUGGGGAGCGAUCCGG
rnacentral:rRNA from 1 species